AUCUAACAAAGUCGAGAAAAAAUGAUUAAAAAAAAACUAAUGGAAUACAAAAUAGCAGGGCCCCAUAAGCAGCCCCAUUGCCUCGUGCGUGCAAGUAUGGCAUAUAAUUUACCAUGUCGCAAAAUCCGACUAAUGAACACACCUUGGAAAAGUAUACAACUCAUAAAACCACCUGUUCUUGAUCGUUACAGCGAUGAAAACUGCAAUAUAGUUGCUCUACUUCACUGGGCAUAAAUGGAGAAUGCCAUUGCGAGGAAAAGUGAGUUUGAGCAUAUUCCAUCUGCGCAGUCACAUCACUCCUCCAAGCAAAGAGUUGAGCUUUACUGGAGCAGAUUUUUGCAGGCUUCAAUAUCAGGUGCCUGUGAAUCUAAUACUCCUUGACCGUAAGGUUAGAGGUAAUAACUCCGGUGAUGGCAACAAACAAGUCCUUCUAUACUCCUUGACCCGUAGGGUUAGAGGUAAUAACUCCGGUGAUGGCUACAAACAAGUCCUUCUGGUAUAGAUCAUCUGUUACCUUCUUCAGGAUCUCAUGCACCAACUUAAAGUCUACCGCCCCUGUCAAAACUAGCUUUGCAACUAUCACCCCAAAAUUUGCUGGUGCUUUUGGUAAAUCCAUUGCAAGAUCAUCCAACAGAGAAGCAAAGUUCACACAUCCA
rnacentral:lncRNA from 1 species